rnacentral:rRNA from 1 species
GACGAACGCUGGCGGCGUGCUUAACACAUGCAAGUCGAACGGAAAAGCCCUGCUUGCCGGGUACUCGAGUGGCGAACGGGUGAGUAACACGUGGGUGAUCUGCCCUGCACUUCGGGAUAAGCCUGGGAAACUGGGUCUAAUACCGGAUAGGAGCCAUUUUUAGUGUGAUGGUUGGAAAGUUUUUUCGGUGUAGGAUGAGCUCGCGGCCUAUCCGCUUGUUGGUGGGGUAAUGGCCUACCAAGGCGGCGACGGGUAGCCGGCCUGUGAGGGUGGACGGCCACAUUGGGACUGAGGUGCGGCCCAGACUCCGACGGGAGGCAGAAGGGGGGAAUAUUGAACAAUGGGCGCAAGCCUGAUGCAGAGACGCCGCGUGGGGGAUGACGGCCUUCGGGUUGUAAACUCCUUUCGCUAGGGACGAAGCUUUUUGUGACGGUACCUAGAUAAGAAGCACCGGCUAACUACGUG